UGCAAGUCGAACGGUAGAGGGGGCAACCCCUUGAGAGUGGCGAACGGGUGAGUAAUAUAUCGGAACGUGCCCAGUCGUGGGGGAUAACGUAGUGAAAAUUACGCUAAUACCGCAUACGAUCUAAGGAUGAAAGCGGGGGAUCGCAAGACCUCGCGCGAUUGGAGCGGCCGAUAUCAGAUUAGGUAGUUGGUGGGGUAAAGGCCCACCAAGCCAACGAUCUGUAGCUGGUCUGAGAGGACGACCAGCCACACUGGAACUGAGACACGGUCCAGACUCCUACGGGAGGCAGCAGUGGGGAAUUUUGGACAAUGGGCGAAAGCCUGAUCCAGCCAUUCCGCGUGCAGGAUGAAGGCCCUCGGGUUGUAAACUGCUUUUGUACAGAACGAAAAGGUUUCUACUAAUACUAGGAGCUCAUGACGGUACUGUAAGAAUAAGCACCGGCUAACUACGUGCCAGCAGCCGCGGUAAUACGUAGGGUGCAAGCGUUAAUCGGAAUUACUGGGCGUAAAGCGUGCGCAGGCGGUUAUAUAAGUCAGAUGUGAAAUCCCCGGGCUCAACCUGGGAACUGCAUUUGAGACUGUAUAGCUAGAGUACGGUAGAGGGGGAUGGAAUUCCGCGUGUAGCAGUGAAAUGCGUAGAUAUGCGGAGGAACACCGAUGGCGAAGGCAAUCCCCUGGACCUGUACUGACGCUCAUGCACG
rnacentral:rRNA from 1 species